rnacentral:rRNA from 1 species
GAUGAACGCUAGCUACAGGCUUAACACAUGCAAGUCGAGGGGUAACGAGAGGAAAGCUUGCUUUCCUUGUCGACGACCGGCGCACGGGUGAGUAACGCGUAUCCAACCUGCCCCCAACUAAGGAAUAACCUUGCGAAAGUAAGACUAAUACCUUAUAAUUUCCUCAGAUGUCAUCUGACGAGGAAUAAAGAUUUAUCGGUUGUGGAUGGGGAUGCGUCUGAUUAGCUUGUUGGCGGGGUAACGGCCCACCAAGGCAACGAUCAGUAGGGGUUCUGAGAGGAAGGUCCCCCACAUUGGAACUGAGACACGGUCCAAACUCCUACGGGAGGCAGCAGUGAGGAAUAUUGGUCAAUGGGCGAAAGCCUGAACCAGCCAAGUAGCGUGCAGGAUGACGGCCCUAUGGGUUGUAAACUGCUUUUAUACAGGAAUAAAGUUAGCCACGUGUGGUUAUUUGUAGGUACUGUAUGAAUAAGGACCGGCUAAUUCCGUGCCAGCCGCCGCCGUAA